CUCGCUGUCUACGACAGAGGGUGGGGACAGACGCUCCGUUUCCGGCGGCAGGGUCUGGGGAAGGGGCGGCAGGCGCCAUGUCCGGCCGCGAAGGUGGCAAGAAGAAGCCACUGAAACAGCCCAAGAAGCAGGCCAAGGAGAUGGACGAGGAAGAUAAGGCUUUCAAGCAGAAACAAAAAGAGGAGCAGAAGAAACUCGAGGAGCUAAAAGCGAAGGCCGCGGGGAAGGGGCCCUUAGCCACAGGUGGAAUUAAGAAAUCUGGCAAAAAGUAACCUGUUCCUUGUGCCUGAGGAGAUGGUGACCCUUUAUUUCAUCCAUAUUUAAACCUUUCUAUUCCCUGCCGUAACAUCUUUUGCCACGUAUAGCUUGAAUUAAGUGUUGUCUUGGAGCUGUUGUACAUUUAAGAAUAAACUUUUGUAAAAAAAGAAAAAAAAAUCUUACAGUGGCUCAUCAUCUCUUUAGUUGUUUUCACUAAGUCAUUCCUACCAUAACUGUGAAUUUAAAGUAAAACCAGCUCAGAAUCUUGCCAGUCUGCUCUUUGGUCCUUGUUCUACCCUAAACUUUGUAUCACCUGAAAUUAAAUCAACUCAUUUGAAAGGA